CAUAAUAUCAUAGCUCGGAUUUCCAUACUUAAAGAGCAUAGUUCUAGUAGAAGGCGGCAUAGUCCUAGCAAGAGAUGACAUAUAGUCUUAGCAGAAGAUGGUGUAGUCUAUAAAAAAGAUAAUAUAGUCUCAAAAGAAGAUAAUAUAGUUUUUAAAAAGAUAAUAUAAUCUUAAUAUCUUAACCAUCCAAAUCUCCAAAAGAUCUGUGGAUGCACAAAGCAACACCUACCAAUAAAACUAAUACUGUAGCUGUAAUGAUCAAAUAUACAUAAAAAUACAACCACCAGUUCUAUCUCUAUGCCUUC
rnacentral:lncRNA from 1 species